GCGUAAUAGCUCACUGGUCGAGUCGGCCUGCGCGGAAGAUGUAACGGGGCUAAACCAUGCACCGAAGCUGCGGCAGCGACACUAUGUGUUGUUGGGUAGGGGAGCGUUCUGUAAGCCUGUGAAGGUGUGCUGUGAGGCAUGCUGGAGGUAUCAGAAGUGCGAAUGCUGACAUAAGUAACGAUAAAGCGGGUGAAAAGCCCGCUCGCCGGAAGACCAAGGGUUCCUGUCCAACGUUAAUCGGGGCAGG
rnacentral:rRNA from 1 species